CCAGUCUCCGUCUCUGUCCCUCUGGAGGUGAGUCACCAUCUCACACCAUCAUCAAACAACGCGAGAUGAUUUCGAAGUCGUAGGAAACCGCUAAUUCUCGCGAGAGAAGCUGAAUCAAAGAAGCGGCAAAACCUGAGUGGAUAAAGCAGCCUGUGAUGAACUGAAAGAUGAAUGUUACUGAAAAGAGCUGUUAGGAAAAACAGACAUCCAGACUCAUUCCACCCUGCAAAGCAAAGACUUGAAGCUAGCAAAGUCAAAGGGAAAAUAAGCAGCUGCAUUUCAUUCAACAACAGCCCCUGGCACAUCUUGGAUAAUUUGGCGUUUACU